rnacentral:rRNA from 1 species
GAUGAACGCUGGCGGCGUGCCUAAUACAUGCCAGUCGAGCGAACAGACGAGGAGCUUGCUCCUCUGACGUUAGCGGCGGACGGGUGAGUAACACGUGGAUAACCUACCUAUAAGACUGGGAUAACUUCGGGAAACCGGAGCUAAUACCGGAUAAUAUAUUGAACCGCAUGGUUCAAUAGUGAAAGACGGUUUUGCUGUCACUUAUAGAUGGAUCCGCGCCGCAUUAGCUAGUUGGUAAGGUAACGGCUUACCAAGGCAACGAUGCGUAGCCGACCUGAGAGGGUGAUCGGCCACACUGGAACUGAGACACGGUCCAGACUCCUACGGGAGGCAGCAGUAGGGAAUCUUCCGCAAUGGGCGAAAGCCUGACGGAGCAACGCCGCGUGAGUGAUGAAGGUCUUCGGAUCGUAAAACUCUGUUAUUAGGGAAGAACAAAUGUGUAAGUAACUAUGCACGUCUUGACGGUACCUAAUCAGAAAGCCACGGCUAACUACGUA